rnacentral:rRNA from 1 species
GAUGAACGCUGGCGGCGUGCCUAAUACAUGCAAGUCGAGCGAGAAGCUACUUUGAAGCGUUUUCGGACAAAUCUGUGUAGUGGAAAGCGGCGGACGGGUGAGUAACGCGUAGGCAACCUGCCCUUAGCAGAGGGAUAGCCAUUGGAAACGAUGAUUAAAACCUCAUAAUGCAUCUAUAACACAUGUUAGAGAUGCCAAAGAUUUAUCGGCUAAGGAUGGGCCUGCGUCUGAUUAACUAGUUGGUGAGGUAACGGCCCACCAAGGUGACGAUCAGUAGCCGACCUGAGAGGGUGAUCGGCCACAUUGGAACUGAGACACGGUCCAAACUUC